rnacentral:rRNA from 1 species
UACAGAGGCCUCGAGCGUUAAUCGGAAUCACUGGGCUUAAAGGGUGCGUAGGCGGCGCUGCAAGUGCCUUGUGAAAUCCCAUGGCUUAACCAUGGAACUGCUCGGUAGACUGCAGCGCUUGAGGUUGGUAGGGGCUGCCGGAACUCUAGGUGGAGCGGUGAAAUGCGUAGAUAUCUAGAGGAACGCCCAAGGCGAAGGCAGGCAGCUGGGCCAAUUCUGACGCUGAGGCACGGAAAGCGUGGGGAGCAAACGGG